GAAAUGCGAUACGUAAUGUGAAUUGCAGAAUUCAGUGAAUCAUCGAAUCUUUGAACGCAAAUUGCGCUUUUGGGUCACCCUGAGAGCAUGCCUCGUUCAGUAUCGUUUCAACCCAUCUCGAGCUUUUAAGGCUUAAUUGUCUUAAAAGAUCGGAAAAUGAGGUGUCUUAGGUUUUUUACCCAAGUCCCUUGAAAUCUAUCGAGUUUUGAUCUUUCAUGUUCCCAAUUCUUUUCGAAGAAGAGGCUCUUGAACUCAGUCUCAAUGGAGAUACUUGACCUUUGUGUCAUUCUCUACAUUGAAUCCGGCUAAUUCAAGGGAGUUUAAUGUGAAAGAUUAAAGACUUCUUUAAACCUCGCUUUUAUAGAAGUGAGACCACCUAACGAUCUGAUCUGAACUGAGG
rnacentral:misc_RNA from 1 species